GUACCAAUCGAUCGAAUUCUAGUCGCAAUUCUCUGUCUGUCCCUCGGCUCUGGGGAGAAAGGGGGGGCUGUGGCGUGGGGGCUGAGGAGGGGCUAAGGCGGGAGGGGCGCCUCAUCCCUUCACCCUCCCUUUUCGCCAUGUGGGGGCCCUGAGCGCCGCCCCAGAAGAGGCCGAGGGAAUGUUGUGGGCUGGGGCACACCGGCACGGCAGAAACUGGAGAAAGCGAGAGACGUCGCCAGGGACCCAGGGACCUCUCCCUCCAGUUCCCCGGGCCCGCCCGGCCCUGAUCGCCACUCACGCUAUAGCGCCCACUCUGUCCUGGGCCGUCCCGCGCCAGCAGUGUAGCCCCCAGCCCGGGCGCCUGAAUGCUCUCCCUCCGGAUCGCUGCUCGGUUCCCCACUUUGGCGACCGUGCCCCCGAGUCCUGCUUCCCCGGGGCCUGCUCUGUAUCAGGCGCCUGCGCCUUCGAGGGUACCCGGCCCGCCUGCCCUCCCCAAGAGCCGAGUUUGCGCUCCUCCCGGAAUCGUUUGAGAGAAGGACAAACUUUUGAGAGGAUGGAAAUCUAGAUGAGCCUGUCCGGAGCAGUUUGAGUCAGAGACCCAUUUCCCUGAGAUGGAGCCAAGCGAGUGCCCCCUCCCGCCUCCAGCACAAUCUCCCGCUCUUCUCCAGUUCCCAAAGGAGGGCAAGGAAAAGGCCCCUACUCUCCUCCCAGGGCUGAGAUUUCCUCCCCCACCCAAGAGAUGCCCCAGGAGGAAGGAAUGGAGAGGCUCUUCAAAGGGCAGUCAAGAGCAGAGGAACACCCCUGAUUAGCCAGGCCCACCGCCAUCCACAUCUGCUCGGCAAAGAAGGAAGGCAGCUUGUUCCAGACCUUGGUGAGCAGCUGCAGACUGCCUGCCUAGAACAGCCUCCUUACUCCAGCCUGGCAGGGAAGGAAGGAACCUGACUUGCUUCGCAGGAUCUGGAAGCUCAGCCGGCAGAGCUGAGAGCCGCAGUUGCAUCCUGGAGCCUGAUGCUAGAAGCAGCUUCCGUCUUUGGGUUCUUGCUGCCUCGGCUUCUGCUCUGUUCAGUUUGCUGUUGUGUUUUUCUCCCCCAUGUUGGGGUGGUGGGGUACAGGGAAAUAAAAUGUUUUCUCCCAGGCCCCUAAUCCUUCCCCAUGCCUCCAUCAGCCUCAAAGCUGCUGACAGUCAUGAACUGCACCUUCUAGCCCUGCCCAUAAGCUACUCAAAGCAAAUUCAAAUUCUCUUCUGGCCAGGAGGAAGGGCAGAUGCUCCCUCCUUCCUCAAGCCUCCCUGGCUCAUUGAUCCAUUUUGAGGGCAUUUGGGGGUCAAAGUUGAGACCAGAUUGCUUCAGUUUGUAUAAAAUUAGCAUUUCUUAUCACACCAAGGCCACACCUGUUCUCUGGCCUCACAAACCAGUGAGGAUGUAAAGGUUUGUUGAGGUGGAGGAACGGAAGUGAAAUGAGCAAUCUGCUCCAUUUAGAAGUCAGUCGCUUCAGCUGUUCAUUCCACUAAUAUUUAUCUAGUACCUACUCUGUGCCAAGCAUUGUCUCUACCUCAGUUUGCCACAAAUAUGAAAAAAAAAAAAUUCUUGGAAGUGUGAGGCUUCAAUGUGUUGUGGACCAAUAUACAAAUAAACCAAUGGAAAAGAAA